GUGAUCUCAGAGGCUUCUUUGAGCAUUAAAUUGCUUAACUUUGAAAUGUGAUGUUUUUGAAGUUUCUCUUGCCUCUACACACUAAAGAUAGGUUGUUUUGAACUUCAAUCAAGUUUUUUGUACUGUUUCAGAAGUGGUAUUGUUUAGGAAAAGAAGCAUGCCACCUUGGCAUGAGAAACAUCUGCAUGGGAGCCAAGAUUGUGCCAUUGAC
rnacentral:lncRNA from 10 species